UGGCUCAGUUGGUAGAGUAUGGUGUUUGAAAUGCCAGGGUUGUGGGUUUGAUUCCCAC
rnacentral:tRNA from 1 species